UACGAAGGGGGCUAGCGUUGCUCGGAAUUACUGGGCGUAAAGGGCGCGUAGGCGGAUAGUUUAGUCAGAGGUGAAAGCCCAGGGCUCAACCUUGGAAUUGCCUUUGAUACUGGCUGUCUUGAGUUCGGGAGAGGUGAGUGGAAUUCCCGGUGUAGCAGUGAAAUGCGUAGAUAUCGGGAGGAAUACCGAUGGCGAAGGCGGCUAUCUGGCCCGUAAUUGACGCUGAGGCGCGAAAGCGUGGGGAGCAAACAGG
rnacentral:rRNA from 1 species